rnacentral:rRNA from 1 species
UAGGGAAUCUUCCACAAUGGACGAAAGUCUGAUGGAGCAACGCCGCGUGAGUGAAGAAGGUUUUCGGAUCGUAAAGCUCUGUUGUUGGUGAAGAAGGAUAGAGGCAGUAACUGGUCUUUAUUUGACGGUAAUCAACCAGAAAGUCACGGCUAACUACGUGCCUG